rnacentral:tRNA from 1 species
GUGUGAGUAGCUCAGUAGGAUAGAGCGACGGUUUCCUAAACCGCAGGUCGCAGGUUCGAUUCCUGUCUCGCACACCA